rnacentral:rRNA from 1 species
CCUACGGGAUGCAGCAGUGGGGAAUAUUGCACAAUGGGCGCAAGCCUGAUGCAGCCAUGCCGCGUGUGUGAAGAAGGCCUUCGGGUUGUAAAGCACUUUCAGCGGGGAGGAAGGCGAUAAGGUUAAUAACCUUGUCGAUUGACGCUACCCGCAGAAGAAGCACCGGCUAACUCCGUGCCAGCAGCCGCGGUAAUACGGAGGGUGCAAGCGUUAAUCGGAAUUACUGGGCGUAAAGCGCACGCAGGCGGUCUGUCAAGUCGGAUGUGAAAUCCCCGGGCUCAACCUGGGAACUGCAUUCGAAACUGGCAGGCUAGAGUCUUGUAGAGGGGGGUAGACUUCAGGUGUAGCGGUGAAAUGCGUAGAGAUCUGGAGGAAUACCGGUGGCGAAGGCGGCCCCCUGGACAAAGACUGACGCUCAGGUGCGAAAGCGUGGGGAGCAAACAGGAUUAGAUACCCCUGUAGUC